rnacentral:misc_RNA from 1 species
GAUGAAUAACGCAGCGAAAUGCGAUAAGUAAUGUGAAUUGCAGAAUUCAGUGAAUCAUCGAAUCUUUGAACGCACAUUGCGCCCGCCAGCAUUCUGGCGGGCAUGCCUGUUCGAGCGUCAUUUCAACCCUCGAGCCCCCCCGGGGGCCUCGGUGUUGGGGGACGGCACACCAGCCGCCCCCGAAAUGCAGUGGCGACCCCGCCGCAGCCUCCCCUGCGUAGUAGCACACACCUCGCACCGGAGCGCGGAGGCGGUCACGCCGUAAAACGCCCAACUUUCUUAGAGUUGACCUCGGAUCAGGUAGGAAUACCCGCUGAACUUAAGCAUAUAAUAAGCGGAGGA